AUACUUACCUGGCAGGGUCCGCGAGCUCAAGAAGUCGCAUGACCGACAUGGAUCAGCUGCAUUGCACAAUGGCGGGACUGGUUCGGUUUGGAUGCUCCUUGUGGGCUUCUUCUGGCACAAUUUUUGCUUUUCUUUCAUUGGAUAAGA
rnacentral:snRNA from 17 species